UACGUAGGCAGCAAGCGUUUGUUCGGAAUUACUGGGCGUAAAGAGUGUGUAGGCGGUGCUCUAAGUUCGGUGUGAAAUCUCCCGGCUUAACUGGGAGGGUGCGCCGGAAACUGGAGUGCUCGAGCGUGGGAGAGGAAAGCGGAAGUUCCUGGUGUAGCGGUGAAAUGCGUAGAUAUCUGGAGGAACACCGGUGGCGAAGGCGGCAUCCUGGACCGAUAUUGACGCUGAUGGCGCGAAAGCCAGGGGAGCAAACGGG
rnacentral:rRNA from 1 species